UAGGCCCUACGGGACGCAGCAGUAGGGAAUCUUCCACAAUGGGCGAAAGCCUGAUGGAGCAACGCCGCGUGGGUGAAGAAGGUCUUCGGAUCGUAAAACCCUGUUGUUAGAGAAGAAAGUGCGUGAGAGUAACUGUUCACGUUUCGACGUUAUCUAACCAGAAAGCCACGGCUAACUACGUGCCAGCAGCCGCGGUAAUACGUAGGUGGCAAGCGUUAUCCGGAUUUAUUGGGCGUAAAUGGAACGCAGGCGGUCUUUUAAGUCUGAUUUGAAAGCCUUCGGCUUAACCGUAGUAGUGCAUUUGA
rnacentral:rRNA from 1 species